ensembl:lncRNA
CUUAAUUCUGAGACAAACACACAGGUGAUGGAACGACUGUGCGAUGUGCGCUGUCAUCGAUCAGCUGAUUGAUAGAUUAACUCUGCGGACACGUGGGAGUUUGCAUGCGUCGGUAUUUGGCAGAUAUUUGGAGCUCGCUGCGCCGAGAAGGGCUGAUUGAAAUCUGAUGGAUAAUUUAUGUUGUUGAGGUGAGCCUGUAAUUUCCAGGGGAGCAGUAGUCCUAUGUGCUUGGCUGGCCACUAUGAAUGAUUAAUACGUAAACAUUAUUCAUAACUUUCCCUCAUAAAUUUAGCUGGUCAUUAAUUCUGCCAGCCUCCACACAGGUGGAGAGGGGACGGGUGGAGGAUGAGUUUCAGGCUGUCAAACGUGCGCCGGCGGGAGGAAGCUCCUCGUCCCUCGUCCCGUUCAGGUUCACGCGCUUUUGUCUUUCUGGUUGUUUUUGGAAUGGCGCUCUAAAGUGGCGGUUAAACAUGCUGUUAACAUUUUCAGUCCAGCGGUUUGAACUAAUUAGCUGCUAAUUAGCCUGCGUCUGCGUUGUCCUGCGAGAGACGUUCAGUGUGUGUCUUCAGAAAGACAGGCUUCACAAAGCAGCUGAUGAAGACGAGGUUGAUCGUCUUGUCUCUUCUGCAGGCCGAGAAGCAGACAAAGAGUCAUUAGGUGUGAAAUCAACGACUUGAUUCAUGUUGAAGAAACCGUCCUCCAGCUACCCAACUGUCUGUGACGGCAGUCGUGCUAGUUUCUGCGGUGUGUCCUGCACGGCUGGCACCAGUUGGCGCUUGUUUCUGCCGGUUCAGCACGUUGAAUCGGCCGCGGAGGAAAGCAAACAAACAUGUCGAGGCUUUCUCUUCAUCUUCACCUCAUCCGAUCAUUUCAAAACACGAACAUUACAGCCAUCUGUGGCGCACGCUGUCGUCUGCAGAUCUGUGCAUGAAAGAUAAAGAUGCUGAAGCUUCAACAGACUGAAAGAUCAAAGACUGAAGACGUUUGAAGAUGUUUUUUUGUCAGGUGGUUUGAAAACUACUGUAUAGUAUGAAGCAGUGCAGGUGAAGGUCACAUGAUCAAACCCGUAUCUCCGCUGUACCAUCUCACCUUCAUGAAACAAAGUGAAACAGUGAAACCUGCUCACACUGAUGAAGUCUGAUUCUCGUUCCUGUGAGACUCGAUCCAGUUUUGAGGUUCCUGAGUGAUCAGCUGGUUAAGAAGGGAGUUGGUUCAAUCUUCCUUCUGUGGAUCCUCAGUGGGCUGUUCCAGAGGAGUUUGAAGCUGUCGGCAGCUGCUGAUGGCGCUCACGCUGAUGGAGCUCACGCUGAUCACAUUACAAGUAUUCAAAGAUCCCAUAAACCAUGCAGAUAAUUCAUUCAAAUGCCCUUACUAGGAAAUAUAGGAUUGGCACUUCAUCACAGUGUCUCCCCUGGAAGGACACCCUAUGGGGCCCUUCGUCACAUUUUAUCUACCAUAGGGGCGGCUCAAGGGUGGAGCGAUCUGAGUGACAGCAGAAUUAUACAUCACAUUCACAUAUAGGUUGUCCCGGUCUGAAGUAAGGAGCAGCAUGUCCUCAUUAUUUUUAAUGUCAUACCUGAACUGACCUUCGUUUAGUUUGUAGUUGUAAAACAAUGUCAACAAAACAUGCGCAUGACGGGGAUCGAACCUGUGGUCUUCGGAGAGAUAGUAUUCACCUCAGUUAGAGAUUGACACCUGAACAGAGCCACAGGUCCAGUAAUAGAAGGCGGGAUCUCAGAUUUCAUUGGCUAGUAGCUGUGUGAUGAAAUUAAACAUAAUUAAGUUAAAUACUGAAGAAUAUAAGUAUAAUUUCUUCUUUUUAAAUGUGUUUAUGAACAAUGAACUGUUCUGAUGAGCUAUUUGAAAGAGAUAUAUGUUUAUUUCUUUAACUUUAAGGUGUUUUUCCUCGGCUUCAGAUCUGAUAAUCGUGCUGAGAGAAGUGUUCCACUUCCAUGUUUUUAUUAUUUAUUAUCCUCACUCUUCUCAAACCAGUCCAUAGAAAGCUAAACUUCCUCUCUGCACCGACAGCUAACUUCCUUAUCAUCACAUGUUGUUGUUUUCUAUGUCCCUAGUGUUGCAAACUGCAUGUUAGCAGCAAUAGUAGCUUUCUAUAUGCUAACACUUGUUUUUCCAUCUCUGCAUCAUUACAAUGUUUCCAUGUCGAGCUCUGCUUGUGCUCUUUAUGAAGGAGCCAUCCAUACACACAGAAGAUCAAUGUGAACUUAGUUAUAAGCAUUCAGAAUUUGCCCUAUUGCAGCGUUAGGGGUCAAAGGUCAAAUCCUGUUGCCCUCAGUGUUAUGAAAAUAGUAGAUGAUGUAUAACUUCAUGAUGUUUCCUUCUUUUAUACUCGUUCUAUGUGUAAAAUGGAGAAAAACACAUGUUAAAUAAAGAACAUAGAAAGCGACCAUUGCUGCAGUUCUACCUGCAUGUGUUCAGUAUCGACCUUAAAGAAUGUGUGUGUGUGUGUGUGUGUGUGUGUGUGUGUGUGUGUGUGUGUGUGUGUGUGUGUGUGUUGGCAGGUUGCUUAUUUUGUGUGGGGAUGACGAAUGAUUUUUAAUUUUUAAUUGAAGCCAUCUGUGUGUCCAUAGCAAACAUAUCGGCUUCUCUCAGACGAAGGUUUAACUGUAAGUUGCACUUUGUGGUGUUCAACACGUGGCUGCAGGUCCGUUUCAGGUCCUUGCAUAGCUC